CUCGGCGCCUGGGGAGGGCUCGACCAAUGGGAACGGCGCUGCCAGAGGGGGGCGUGGCCGCGAGCCCUUUAACGCGCAGCAGCCCCUCUUCCCGAGUCUGCCUGCGCGAGCCCGCCAAGGGGCGCGGCCGGGCGCGCGGCCGGUUGGCGGGGUUGCUGUGGCAACGGGGCCUGGCCCUGCGGGCCUGGGCGGGGGGUGCGCGGGGCUGCGGGAAGGGGCACCGGCCCCUGGCCAGGCCCGUGUGGCGCUGUGGGUCUCGAGGGCAGCGCUGACGUUCUCUGUUAUCUAUAAGGAUUUCAGGGUCACUUUCCUGAUUGCCAACAUCCUCCUGGAUCUUUUCUUUUUACUUGUGUUUGUAAACUUGGCGUUUAAUCUGCAGUUAAGCCUCAGGCCUCUUAGUAAUAUGCAAAUAUUCACGUCAGCUUUCAGUUUGACUAGAAAAUCAAUUUGUGCCUUAACCCAACUUUUCUACCUCCCUUCCCCAGCCCAUUCCUGCGCCCAAUGGACAGCCCAGGGCCCAGCACUCCACACACCUGCUGUCCUGCUGUCAGAGCAGCUGCUUCACAGCCUUCCUUCCCUCUGAGCAACCCAUAAUGCACAGGACAGCCUUUCCCUUCAUCCAAGACAGCCCUGGCUUUCUAAGAGCAUUUGCUAAGGGAUCUUAGCAGGGGUUUCUGUGGAAAUCCAGCUGGAGGAGGGAUGCUGCUCUGUGGGCGAAUGUGGAAAGCCAGGUCUGCAGCAGGAGCCGUGGUGGCUGUGCUGGCCUGGCCUUACCUCAGCAUCUCCACCCACCGUAGUUUGAUCUCAGCUGGGUAUCGCUGUUACCUUUCCCCAGUAGCUGAUUGCUCCCGAGGACCUCAAACCCCUUGCAGUGGUUCCCCAGCAGCUGACUUUUGCUCUCUGCUUUUCAGUUUCAGUUACCAUCCCCACUUAUCCACGUGGUGCUUCAAUGGCACCCCAGGCUUUUGGGGAUGCUCUGUCCCCUCUAAGAGGCGUGUGGCACUUCUCUGCUCAGACCAUGAUAGCCUGUUGCAGGGACAACCUCCAAACAUUCAGUCAGCCUCCAAGUGCCAGCAAGCCACCACAUGGAGUUUCUUGCUGACAGGCUUCACCCUUUUCCUGCAGCUCCCCCUGAGGAUGUUCAGUGUGACGGAGGUGGGUUUCUCUGGCUCUCUUCCUACAGCCUAUUCCCUUAGAGCACUUCCAUCCAUACUGCAGCUCACGUGGUUUCUUCAGCCUGCUGGCUUUUCUAGAGAUGAAUUUAUGCAUUUGUGCUCAGUCUGUUUCAAUGUGCUUUGUUUAUUCAGCUAUACAGACUGCUCUUCAUUUUCUCCUUUCAUGUUACAUUGACUUCGUGCCUACAAGUUGAGCUGUCCAGAAAUGUGUUCUUCCAUGCGCACUGGCUUUCCCCUGUCUUUGGGGUCACAUUUUUCCUAUGUUUUUCAUCGUAAGUGCCAGAACCUGGUUGUGUUAUGGUUUAAACACAACCUUGUAGCCAUCUAAUUUAGCAGCUUCUUCACCUCCUUUUGAGACCUUGCUGUGUGCUGAGAUUUACUUCAUCCUGGAGGAAGGCAGCCAAGAAGUCCUCUUCUUUGGCAUCCCAGCACCCAGCUGGAAACGUGCCUCUGGAAAAGAAGAAAAAAAAAACCAAACACUUUCCUUUUUCACACCUCACUUCUAUCCAAAUGGACUAUGCCCACCAGCUCCUCCCCAGCACUUCAGUACUGUUGAGAGACCUUGUAGCAGGCCGCUGUCGUCCCCAGCAGACAAGGCACAAGGCACCACUUAGUGCUGCUGUGAUGACCAGUCCUACACAGGGCAUUGACCUCUUUGGGCCAGCACUUUUCCCAAGCAGAGCCAUUCCUGGACACCUCUGUGUCCAGCCAUGUGCCCUUGACACCUGAAUGAGGUUCAGGUGCAGCAAGACACAAUAGGAGCUCAAGAUCACAGCACUUCUCUUCAGUAGUCCCUCUCAAACCACCCUGCCUUUAGCUGGAGGAGCGCCCUUCAGCCCGCAUCAUGCUGUGGUCUGGAGAGGGACAGACAGACAUCUGAGUCCUGGGCCUGGGUGAGACAGGCCGACCACUCCCCUGGCUCCUCGUGACAGGCACCGAGGGGUGGCUUUGUGCAGAGCAGGCUGCGUGGGUCUGCACUGACACCCAGUGGCUGUGGCACAAGCAGCCUUCCUCCUUGCACCCGCGUCAGCCUUUGGGCCAGGGAUAGUGCCACAGCAGCAGGGCUUGGCCUGUGGGUCCCUGUUCUGCCAUCACAUCCUUCACCUUGUGGAGAGCUGGGAUGGGCCCUCCCCUCGGCCCUCCCCUGGCCUGCAGGACCUCCAGGAGGUACCAUUUUCUCAGAGGCUGAGCUCACACCCAGAGGGCCUUGUCACCAUUACUUCUGUUUUCUGUUAUGCUCCUCUCCGCUGUUACCAGGGUGGGUAUUUUGGUAAUUUGCCUUCCUAAAGUAUGCCCAUCACUUCCAGCUUCUGCCCUAUGGCCAGGCUUAUAUGACCAUAAGGCUUUUGGAGCAGCUGAAGCUCUCAGUACAGCCUCUACCUGCAGCUCCUUGCUGGCAAUCUUUCCCCUUUUCCUCUGCUUCUUCAAGGGUGCUCAGUGUGACAGGUGGAUUUCUCUGGCUCUCCCCUCACUGCCUUCACAUUGUGGUCUCUGUUCUAGAGGGACGCUCUGGUGCUAGCACUGGGGCAGCACAGGGCUGAGCCAGCACGCAACCAGGAGAGAGCCAUCUGCUCGGGAUCCCCACUGUACCCUUCUUUGCUUUCUUCCCAUUUUGUCUCUGUUCACAGCCACAUCCAUAUGCAAUCUGUGCCACUCAGCUCCAGCAUCGUCUUUUAGCGAAGCACGCACAUAUCUGCUCUUGCUCUGGUUGCUUAUUUUUAUGUGCCUUGUUAAAGCAGCUCUUUACUGCUUCCCACGCGAACACUGUCACCUCCUGUCCUAGCCUCUAGUGAAGACUCAAGGGCUUUAUGAUUGCAGCCCAGAGAUGAAUCAUCUUGUCCACAGCUCCACUGCUUGAAAACUGCCUCCAGGACCUCUCCCUUGCCUCUGCCGUACGCAUACCUAUGUGGCCACCUCUUGGUGCCUCCAAGGAUGGAGACCCUGCAAGGAACUGCCCUGAUCCUGAUGGCUGGCAGGGAAGAUGUGUGAUUUGCUUCCGCAUUCGCUUCCCCCUCUCUUGUAUCGCUCUACCAACUAAGUUGGAAGGGACCCACAAGGAUCACCGAGCCCAACCCCCGGCCCCACUCAGCACCCCCCACCCCCAAUAGCUGAAAGCAGUGUCUGAUCCGGCAUCGGGGCCGUGCUUACUGCCCUGGGCAGCCCGUGCCAUACCCACCGCCGUCUAGGGCAGAGCCUUUCCCUAACAGGUCACGGCUGGUCUUCCAGAACGACGCCUAUUUACAACGAACGCUGUCAAGGCGGAGUGGAAAUGUACUGGGAAGCCUUCCCCGGAGAGCGACGACCUCCGUCAAUCACAACCAAGCGGGGGCUCAGCCCAGCCGUUGGCACAGCGCUGACCCCGGGACGAGCGCGGCCGCCUCUCGCCUCGCUCCGCUGCCGUGCCGUGCCGCCGAGGCGGGGGCCGCCGCAGUCCCCGCCCGCCCGGCCGGGAGGGGCCAAACGUCGUCGCCG
rnacentral:lncRNA from 1 species